rnacentral:rRNA from 1 species
GACGAACGCUGGCGGCGUGCCUAACACAUGCAAGUCGAGCGAUGACGCACCGGGUGGCGUGGGUUAGAGGCGAGAGGAUCAGGAAGACAUGAAGCCUAUGCCGUCCACUCUGGGAUAAAAACGGGAAACCAUGGCGAAUACGGGAUAUUUUCAACUGGUUCGGUCGCCUGUGAAAGAAAGUUGUUCGGUGGACGAGUACCCCGCGGCCUAGCAGCUUGAUGGUGAGGUCAGGGCUCACUAAGGCGACGACGGGUAGCCGGCCUGAGAGGGGGGACGGCCACACUGGGAGUGGGACACGGGCCAGACUCCUACGGGAGGGAGGAGUGGGGAAUAUUGGGCAAUGGAGGAAACUCUGACCCAGCGACGCCGCGUGAGGGAUGAAGGCCUUCGGGUUGUAAACCUCUUUCAGCAGGGAAUAAGCGAAAGUGAAGGUACCUGCAGAAGAAGCACCGGCUAACUAUGUGCCAGCCGCCGCAGUAA